AAGAAAGAACUCCAAACACUCCACUAAUGGCAGAUUGCAUGUGCAAGGCUUCUCCUUCCUUUGGACUGCACGUCACUCCUUCUUUCUCCUCCUUUAGUGGCUGCACAAGGUGGAUGAAUGGUUAUGGAAGGAUGUAGGAAUGGUUUGGGGAAGAGGAUGGUGCGGCAAGGUUGGAAAUAGGGUUUUGGACGAAUUUCUGAAUAUGGAGAGGGUAUCUUCGGCCAAAGGGUUUAAAGGAGUAUAUAUAGGCACUUCAAACCCUAGCAAUCAGAUUAGGGUUAGAGGUGGGCCUUCUAGAAUGCCUUGCAAGGCAAGGAAAUCAGGUAUUUUGGGGCCCUAGGUGCGGCAGAGAUUAG
rnacentral:lncRNA from 1 species